AGGGGCGGGGACAAGGCUGGAAACCGGAAGCUGCCCGUGCCGCGCCGCGCGUGCGCCAGAAAUCCAAUGACUUGUCAGCCAGAGUAACGGCUGUCGUCAGGUCUUCAGGGUCUCGAGGGUCUUACUCUGUCACCUAGGCUGGAGUACAGUAGUGCGAUCAUGGUUCACCGUAGCCUCGACCUCCCAGGCUCAAGCAAUCCUCCCACCUCAGCUGGCUAAGUAGCUGGAACUACAGACAUAUGCCACCAUGCCUCAUUAAGGGAGAAGAAAGGCAUGAGGAAAAGAGGAAGAUUGUUAUUGUCAAUAUAUUUCAUAUUGGAAAAGGGCUCCAUGCCACAUUUUUGUUCUGUGGCCUUAGCCCCUCUCUCAGCCUAGUUUUGUUUAGCUGUAGAACAGGGAUCCUAGUACUGCAUAAAGUGUUUGUGAAGAAGAAUACAUUAGCUAAUAACAUAAAGGUUUUAAUACAGUGCAUAUCAUACAGCCUGGCCAACAUGGCGAAACCCCAUCUCUACUAAAAAUACAAAAAAUCAGCUGGGCGUGAUGGUGUGCCUAUAGUCCCUGCUACUUGGGAGGCUGAGGCAGGAGAAUCAAUUGAGCCUGUGAGGCGGGGGUUGCAGUGAGCUGAGAUUGCGCCACAGCACUCCAGCCUGGGCGACAGAGUGAGUGAGACUCCAUCCCAAAAAAAAAAAUAAAUAAAGCCUAUCUUCCGGCCAGAAUAUAAACUCCAUGGAUGGCAUUUGUCUCAGUUAACACUCUUUCUCUAAUAGCUCCUGAAUUGCCUGCUAGAAUCGCCUAUAGGAAGACAUGACAUUAUGGGGAAUGCGUUAAGUAGCUCCCAACAUGGUCAUGUGCUCACACUAGGACUAAGAUACUGUUAUUAAAUAAAUCAUGGAAAAAUGAACUUAGAAAGGGAUAUGAAGGAUUAGCCAGUAAGUCUCUGUAAAACAUAAGGGAAUUAUAUCCAUAUUACCUUGUAUAUAAAAUGCCUUAUUUUUCAGCAUUCUUUUUUUUUGUUGUUUUUUUGAGACAGGAUCUCUUACUCUAUGGCCCAGGCUGGAUUGCAGUGGCAUGAUCUUGGCUCGCUGCAGUCUCAACCUCCUGGGCUCAAGCAGUCCUCCCACUAUAGCCUCCCGAGUAGCUGGGACUACGGGUGUGCAUCACCAUGCCAGGCUAAUUUUUGUAUUUUUCGUAGAGGGGGUUUCCACCAUGUCACCCAGGCUGGUCUCGAACUCCUGAGCUCAAGCAAUCUGCCUGCCUUGGCCUCUCAAAUUGCUGAGAUUCACACGCAUGAGCCCAGCCAUUUUUCAGCACAUUCUUUAGGCAAUUUCCUUUCAGCAUUUUAGAGUAGUAAGUACUCUAAGUAGAAUUUACCAAGUUCUUGGUCUUCAUAAAUUGACAACCUCUUAUUUUGUAGGUUAUAGUGCCAUCAUGUGGAUACUUUGUUUUCUUCAAAUAAAAUGUAACCUUUUUAUAACAGAAACUAGAAAACCCAGCCAUCCCAACACCCAGGUGAAGAAAAUGUGAGCCAGAGAGACUCCAUCCAAUGUUAGAUAAAAGGAACAUGCAAGGAGCAUUGGAAAACAUCAACCUUUAAGGAGUAGGUCAGAAAAAAAGAACCAGCCAAGACAUUUGGAAGUGUGGUGUGUCAGUGUGGAUUGGCCAGCCUGUGCCUGGGGACCCCAUUGUCCCCCUAUUCUUUCCCUUUACCUCUCCAUCAGUAGCAGUGGCUGGAGUAGAGGAAUUGUGAAAUGAUCUGGACAUGCCUGAAAUGGGAAAACAGGGAAUGCUUUAACUGGAUCAUUAUCCUGGAAGCACUUUGACAUGAGAUAUACCUUUUUCCCAAGUCCUAAACUCUUGUGGAGCAGCACAAACCAACAUUGAGGCUUUUCUCCCUUUCCCUCAGGUAGACAUGAUAGCCAAGGCAGCUGAUUGUCCCGAAGAAUAAGUAUGAGCACAGAGGGAAAAUCAUGAAACAUCUGAGGACCAUGAGAACUGCUAAAACAAUACAUAGAACUAGCUAUACCAGAGAAAGUCAAGUGAAUGGAUCAGACAAUAAGAAUUGAAAAUAAGCUUAAUAGAGCUUCAGAGAAAGAAGGGAGAAUGUUGGAAACACAAAGCACAAACAAGCAUUUGUGAAUUGGAUGUUGACAAAUAUUAAUGAAAUAACUCAAUGGAUGGGUUGAAUAUAGCUGGACAGUUCACUCAUGAACCGGAAGAUUAGAGCAAGGAAGGAACUAAGAAAUGGAAAGCAUGAAAGGAGAGUUAAGAAAUGUGGAAGGUAGAAGCAUAAAUAUUUUUCUAAUGGAAAUUCCAGAAGGGGAAAAAAAAGAACAUGUGAAAGAAUUAUUGCUGAGAAUUUCCCAGAAUUGAAGACAUACUUUAGAAUGAAAAAGGCCAACUCUAACUUUGGGAUUUCUAGCUUCGGAGGAAUGAAAAUUUAGAAUGACCAAGGGGAGUGCACAGGAUUUUUUGGGCAGUGAAACUAUUCUGCAUGAUACUAUAAUGGUGGAUGCAUGCUAUUACACAUUUGUCAAAACCCAUUGAAUGUACAUCACUGAGAAUGAAGCCUAAUGUAUGCACUUUGG